AGGCCAUUUUGGUCUUUUUACAUCUCCUACUCAUCCUUAUCCCUCCCAGCUCGACCCUGAGGUUGUAUUACACUUAGAAACUCAGGAAAAAACAGGUUUUAGCUAUCCUCUUUCUCUCUCUAGGGUUUGGAGCUCAAGAGAGCUUGGUGUAGUGGUUUCGGCUUUUUCGACGUGAUUUCCUUGCGCUAGCUGGUUUGGUGGGAUUUGGAGGAGCUCUCUUGUUGUGAACUGUUGGAGGUGAAGGUUCUCUUGCUGCCCAACUUAGUUGGAACCUGAUUUGCAUUAAGCAGGUUGUGGCAAAUAUUUUAUCAUCUUGAGAAGGAUUAGGGUGCUGUGGAGUCUUCACUUUAGCUCAGGGAGGAGCUGAUUUGUGACUUAAUCAGGUAAUUAGUCCACUUAUAGAAGUUUUAGCAUGUUUGACGAGGUCGAGGUGUUGAUUUUGGAUGUAGUGAUCGCAGCAGCAGUAAAUGUCGCUUAGUGCUGAGUUUGGGACUCCGUAAGCUGAAUUGAAAGGUACUUUCAUUGGUGCGUAUCGCGAUUGUGGACUGAUUGGUUCUUGGCUGUAUUUGAAGGCUUUCAGAGGGUUAAACUUAGAGUUUAAUCGGAUCCAAAACAGGGAACUAAGCUACUCCACGAUUUAAGGUCUGAGCUAAGUUUUGAGAACACCUAGCUUCCUUAUUGAGCUCACUCAAUUUCCUUUGUUCUAGGGGAUUGAGAGACGUUGGACUUGGUUGAUCGAGAGCUUCCCUUAAUAGAGCCUUCCACCGCGGGAAAGGCUAGGGUUCUUGGCGAGG